GUUCAUCCUGCCGUCCACCUUACUACCUUUUCACCUUUCCCGUUUCCAUUUGUUCGUUCGUCCAUUUAAUCUCAAACUUACAGAAAAGUUACAAGGAAUUUUUUUCUUCUCUGAACUAUUUGAGAGUAAAUUGCUGACCUUAAGUCCCAUCACUUCCAAGUAGGUUACUGUAUAGUUCUUAGAAACAGAUUUUUUCAUAGCAACCAAACACUGGUAAAUUACAAUAUCGAAUUCUCAGACUCUCUUCAAGUUUCACUCCUUGUCCUGGUAUUAUCCUUCCAUAUAACAAGAUGUUCAGGCUCAUUCCCUGACCCAACUUCCUUUUUUUGGAGAAUGGUGUUUAGAAAUGGAGACCUGGAAAUUAUAUAUGGUCACUCUUACUGGAAAAUCACUGUUUCCAGGUUUCUCAGUGGAAACAGCUAGGAAAUAAGUGUUGUGGAUGCGUUCGUGUGUGUACAGAUGAAUAUAUACACAUUGACAUCUGUAUUCCUAAAUCGUGUAUAUUUAUAUUUUAAAAACUGUGCAUUGAUGCUGAUGCUUCCCAUUUUAAUCCAGCGUUACAGCGUUUGUUCUAGUGUUCUUCCUUUUGAUAUUUGUCAUUCGUUUUCCUGAUAGAAAAUGGGCUUCUAGUAUUCUUAAUGUAUUUUUAUAUUUUGGUCAGUCCUCCUAUACAUAACCAAGCUUGAAUGAAGAUAUGUCCUUUUCCAUUGCAGAAAUGUUCUAUUUCAUUUUUUAACACAGCUCGGACUCUUAACACUACAUGCCAGGCCACCAGAUGGCGCCAUACCCUGCAUUGACACCCUUUUUGCCUUGUCUGGGCUCUGACAUCUAUGGCAGGUUGCUCUUCUUCAUGGAGUCCUCUUUACUGAGCUCAUGCUCUGACGCUCUGUGCCAGGUGCCUCCCCAUCUCAUCCUCCCCACCUGCUAGCCCCUGCCCGACCCCACACAGUUUCCCUCCUCACCUGAAGCCAGACCAUGCCUUUGUGGAGACACCCUCUUUAUCCUGCUUGUGCUUCGGCAUCUUGCACCAGGCCACCCUCCUGCACAGGUACUCUCCUCAUUACUAGACCAGGCUACCAACAGCCCCGUAUGAACCCCUUUAUAACCCAGGUCAGGCAUUGACACCCACCAUAGGCUACUAUGGCUUCCCCUUCCCACCAUCCUAGCUUGACCCUACUAAUAAUCAUUUUGUCACUGUUUGGGGGGAUAUUUGGUUCUUUCUUGUAGGUUCCUAGCUUUAAGAUAGGAUUGAGUACUAAAAUUUACUUAGUUCUUUGAGAACUCAAGGAAAUCAGUGAAACAUUAUUAUUGUUAUUAAAUUAAAAUUAAAACACCUGUAGUUACUGCCUCUGUUUGAACCUGUCUUGUUACAAGUUCCCCUUAUUUCAGCUUCAUGAAACAAAGUUAUCUUUUUCUUUCAAUGUGUAUUAAAUUUGCUGUCUUCAUAGUUUUCCCAUACCUAAAAGAAUAAAAGCAGAUACUAUUAAUAAAUUAGAAAGAAGUUCUGCAAAUUUGAAAGCAGUUUCUAAACUGAAUUUUACAGAUGGAGGUCA